CAGCCGCCGCGGUAAUACCGGCGGCCCGAGUGGCGGUCACUAUUAUUGGGCUUAAAGCGUCCGUAGCCGGGUUGGGAAGUCCUCCGGGAAAUCUGGCCGCUUAACGGUCAGAAUGCCGGAGGAUACUCCCAGCCUAGGGAGCGGGCGAGGCCGAGGGUAUUCCCGGGGUAGGGGUGAAAUCCUAUAAUCCCGGGAGGACCACCUGUGGCGAAGGCGCUCGGCUGGAACGCGUCCGACGGUGAGGGACGAAGGCCAGGGGAGCAAACCGGAUUAGAUACCCGGGUAGUCCUGGCUGUAAACGAUGCGGACUUUGUGUCGGACAAGCUAUGAGCUUGUCCGGUGCCGGAGGGAAACCGUUAAGUCCGCCGCCUGGGGAGUACGGCCGCAAGGCUGAAACUUAAAGGAAUUGGCGGG
rnacentral:rRNA from 1 species